rnacentral:rRNA from 1 species
UACAGAGGGGGCAAGCGUUAUCCGGAAUUAUUGGGCGUAAAGAGCUCGUAGGCGGUUUGUCGCGUCAUGCCCGUGAAAGUCCCGGGGCUCAACUCCGGAUCUGCGGUGGGUGACGGGCAGACUAGAGUGAUGUAGGGGGAGACUGGAAUUCCUGGUGUAGCGGUGAAAUGCGCAGAUAUCAGGAGGAACACCGAUGGCGAAGGCAGGUCUCUGGGCAUUAACUGACGCUGAGGAGCGAAAGCAUGGGGAGCGAACAGG